ensembl:snoRNA
GGCCUUUGUGUUGCCCAUUCAUUCCUGUCCAGAAUGGAUGUGGUGUCAAAAAAGGCAAACAGGAAUUCUUGCUCAAACUGCUUUAGGGAGCUGGUUAUGUACCUUCCUCCUUUCUGUUUUUGCAAGGACAAAA